rnacentral:lncRNA from 1 species
AAAAUAAAGUAAAAUAAAAAGAAAAAUAAAAAAUAUACUAUUUCGUUUUACUAUUUGCACCCCCAAAUUCACUUUUCAACCCCUAGCCCAAUAACAAAAAUAAUCACACAUUUUUUUACUUCCUCACCACCAAUUUUCUUCUCACACCCUACUCUCCACAUCACCCUCCACAUCAUCUUCCACAUCAUAUACUUUUUCCACAUCAUUUUCAUAUUAAUUUUUAUAUACCAACUUUUCUAAUAAUUCCACUUACCUUUUUUUUAAUCAUAAAUCUUCUCCACCAACUUUUUAUAUUAUUUAUUUCACAUUAACUUUACUAUUUACUAUAUUUUAUUCCACCUACUUUCUCCACUAAAUUUUUAUAUUAUUUCUUUCACUUAUUUUCUACAUUAACUUUU